GAUGAAGAACGUAGCGAAAGGCGAUAAGUAAUGUGAAUUGCAGAAUUCAGUGAAUCAUCGAAUCUUUGAACGCACAUUGCGCCCGCCAGCAUUCUGGCGGGCAUGCCUGUUCGAGCGUCAUUUCAACCCUCGACCUCCCCUUGGGGAGGUCGGCGUUGGGGACCGGCAGCACACCGCCGGCCCUGAAAUGGAGUGGCGGCCCGUCCGCGGCGACCUCUGCGCAGUAAUACAGCUCGCACCGGGACCCCGACGCGGCCACGCCGUAAAACACCCAACUUCUGAACGUUGACCUCGAAUCAGGUAGGACUACCCGCUGAACUUAAGCAUAUCAAUAAGCGGAGGA
rnacentral:misc_RNA from 1 species